GAUUAGAUACCCUGUUAUUCCACAGCUGAAAUAUGUCAUAUACUGCCUGGGAACUACGAAGAAGCUUUAAAACCCGAGGGACUUGGCGGUGCAUUAAUCCCCCCAGGGGAACCUGGCCCUUAAUUCGAUGAUCCGCGAACUUCUUACCUUCUCUUGUUUGGACACACCCUUCUGGGUGUGUUUUUAUCAGCUUGCAUACCGCCGUUUUCAGCUUGUAUCGUGAGGUAAAAAAAACAGGCUAUUCAGCAUGUGAACAUUUGCUUUUAAACUGGGGGCAAUACGACAAUAGCGUAGUUGUCGCCCUCUGGGAAGCGAUGGGACUGCUAGGAAUUCAGGUAAAAGUGCAGCCUAUGGGAAGGGGGUUGCUGGGUUACAAUUGGUGUUUGAACUGGAGGGUAGCCUGAAAAGGCUACGUGAAAGAGUACUUGGAAGUAAUGGCUUUAGGCAAUGAAGUCGUGAAUGGUGCUCUAGUGUGUGUACAAAGU
rnacentral:rRNA from 1 species